UGGGGUGUAGCCAAGUGGUAAGGCAACGGUUUUUGGUAUCGUGUACCGCUGGUUCGAAUCCAGCCACCCCAGCCA
rnacentral:tRNA from 1 species